GUUUUGCUCAAUUUAAGAAAAUUCCAAAGAUUAGAAGAACUGGAAAGAACUAAAGAGAGUUCUUUAGAACUCUCCAGCUGGAACGGGAAGAGUAAAUGAAACAGGACCGACGCUGUCACUGGAAACAUCCAGGAGAACAGGCUGGCUGUGAGCAUAUUCCCCAGGGAGGAGGUCCCUGCACUGGGUGUGAGUCUGUUUGUUUUUUAAUUCACCCUUGGAUUCGAGGGGGCCAGGAUCACCCUUUGUUUCCAUGCUUCCACUUCUUAAGUUUCCCAGCCUUUUAACUUCCAAGCCUUCUUCCUAUGUGCUCAGGGAGCAGAUUUUUUCCCGGAUAGUCUUCUACUCUCCGUUCUUUCUGAGCUGUAUGAGUUUUAGGUUUUAUUUUCUACUAAACUGAUUGAGUAUUUGUUACAGAGAAGCAGCAGGCACAGCAGGCCACUCUGUAGUCUCCAGAACGAGCUGCCGGGUCCAGCCUCGCCUUCCCCUCACUGCUAUGUGAUUCUGCCUGCCUAGUUAAUCCAGUUUAACCUUGGCCUAUUUCUUGUGUGAAAACCUCAAACUGCUCCUGGGUCUGAUUUUCACCUAGUGCCCUGCUCAAGACAGGUAGUGUUCAGGCAAUGCAAAUGCAAACCUGGCUCGAAGCCGCCUUCUGCAAUGUGGAAGUUCUCCUCCCACCACACCCUCAUCAAAUCUGGGUGACAGCGACAGAGUGGUGCCCCUGAAAUCAGACUGUCUUGCUUCAGACAUCGUUCAAUCCUUCUGUGUCCCCCUGCUGUCUCUGAAGCUUCAAGGACAAUGCUGGACUUACUCAAAGGAGUACUGUGAGAAUCAGACUUGCCCUUGACACUCCACACAUGCUCGUCAUCAUCCUCACCGUUACUGCCAUUUGUGGUGGCUUCUAGUGUGUC
rnacentral:lncRNA from 1 species